UUCAUAUUUGUAUAAAUUAUGUCAUUUUAGUUCCAUUUCAUACUUAUAACCAAUUUAAACAUCAUUCUACAACCGUAAUAACAAAACUCUUAUACUUAACCUAUACAUCACCUAGGUACAUGCCACAUUAUCAAAACAAAGGUACAUCACUAAAAUUUCCCUGAGGUCGGGAUUGCUCUGGAUGCUGGACCAGAUACUGGCUUUCUACUAACCUGUGCACAGAAACAACCGUACGCUGAGUAUAGGUAUACUCAGUGGUAUUACCAUAAUUCAAAUUAAUAACAUUAAUCGAUAAAUUUUAUAAAUUUAAUUUAUGUCUACAAUUAUUCAUAAAUUAUCUCAUACUUUAAAUCAACUUGAUCAUUAAUAACAGUAAACAAUAUUUCACUAUCUCAAUUUCAUUGAAUUUUUCACAUCUCAUUCCAAUAGUUCAUUUCAAUUCAUAUACAAUUCAUUCAAUUUAUCACUAUAUUCAAUGUCAAUUCUAUUGCAAUUUGUACUCACUAAUAUCAUAUAACAAAAAUUUACUCUUAAUCAAAUCAUGAACUUUGGGUUCAUAUCUUCAAAUCUCAUAUCUCGAUUUCAAAUUCACAUAUCAAUUCACAAUUUCACUCUCAUUUCUUUCCAUAGCCCAAUCAAUCACAUUUACUCAAAUUUUCUCAUUAUAAUUAUUUACCCUGUUAACUUGACUCGUACCUUGGCGGAUACACGGAUCCAAUCAAACACACCAGAAUGGCACCCAGUGCCUCAUCGGAUAGUUCGAAGCAAUAAAGUGACACCCAGUGUCUCAUCGACAGAGCCGAAGAAAGUUGGUACCCAGUACCUCAUCGAAUCUAUCCGAAGUAACAGUAUAACACCCAGUGUCUCAUCGACUCAAGGUCGAAGUAUCCUUGAACACUUCCAAUUAGAGGUGCUCAUGGGUUGGGCGGCCUGGCCCAGUCCGACGGCCUGCCCGAAAUUUGGGAGGGUUCGGGUAAAAAUAUAGGCCCGAAAUAUGGGCUCGGGAAAAAAAUGAGGCCCGUUUAGAAAACAGGUCGGGCCUCGGGCAAAUUUUUUUUGGCCCGGGCCCGGCCCGGAUCUAAUUAAUAUAUAUAUAUUUUAUUUUUAAAUUUUAUUAUUACAGUUACAUUUCCCAAUUCCCCUCCCCAUUUCCCAUUUCCCAUUUCCCGACCCCGUGUAUCUGUAAAUCCCUAACCCCUUCCCUCCUCUCUUUUUUUCCCCCAAAUCGAAAACCCACCUCCACCGAUCCACCAUUCCACCUCCGGUGUCCGGUCCUCCACAACUUCACCUCCGCUCUAGCCUUCAACGUGGUAGAAUUUCAAAGGUAAGUUUGCUGUUAACCCUAAUUCUUGUUAACGGUUUUCUAAUUUUUCAAUGUCUUCUCCCCUUUUUGCUUUUUGAUUUUGAUUGUGAUUUUGAUUUUUGCUGUUAACGAUUUUCUGAAUUUGAUUUUGAGACACUGAAUCUUGGGGGGAUUUUGAUUGUGUUUACACUUUACAUAUUGUUCUAUUUUUUUUAGUUCUUUUGAUUGGAUUAAUGUGAUUUUCUUUUCUUGAAUGAUGAUUUUUCUUUUGUUGCAAAUUUGUUCUUUUAUUAAAACCGAAAAAGGAAGAAAAUCAAUAGAAUUGGAUUUAGAGUUUAUGGAAUCUAAAAAAACUGAAAAAAUAACCCUCCAAAUUGACUGCUUAAAUUAAACUAAACUAAUAUGUCACUGUCAUUAACAACAAAUUUCAUUUUGGAUGAGAAUUAAGAGCAAAAUUGUAUUAUUCAAUUAUUAUUGGAUGAGAAUUGAUUUAUGUUUUAUAGAACAUGUAAUUUGCAGGGCUGAAUUCUGAGAUCACAUACAAGUAUAUUUUUUCUGCUUCUUUCAUGCAUGCUGGUUCACAAACAGCAGGUGGUAGCCUUGUCAAGGCUUGCGGUAGCUUGGGUGCUAUUAAACAAGGUAAGCAAGUUCAUGGCAACUUUUUAGUAUCACCCUAUUUUGAUGAUGAUGUUGUUAAGUCAUCUUUGGUUGAUAUGUAUGCAAAAUGUGGAUUACCUGAUGAUAGUCGUUUAGUUUUCGAUUCUAUUAAGUUGAAAAAUAUGGCAUCUUGGACUGCUAUCAUAUAUGGCUAUGCUAGAAAAGGAAGAAAAGAGAGGCUUUGGAGUUGUUUUUAAGGGUUCACCUGAAAAUUUUGUUUGCUUGGACUGCUUUGAUAUCUGGGUUAAUACAGAGUGGAAAUAGGGUUGAUGCAGUUGGCUUGUUUGUUAAGAUGAGAAGGCAAGGGAUUAGUAUAAUUGACCCUCUUGUGCUUUCAAGCAUUGUUGGUGCCUCUGCAAAUUUAUGGAUGUUGGAAAUAUAAGUUUUACUUAAAAUCAAAAGUUAGUUUUUUUUCUUUCUUUCUCUGAUCUUUACUGUAAAUAUAAGUUUGAUCUAUUGUAGUUAAUAUACUGUUUUAGUAUACUGUUUUAAUAUACUGUUAUAAAUGUAAUAUACUGGUUUAAUAUAUUGUUAUAAAAUUUGUAAUAUACUAUUUUAAUAUACUGUUAUAAAUUAUCACAGUAAUAUUUGGGUUACCUGGGUUGAAUCUUCAUGUAGCUUGGGCAGUUUUCUUUUAUCAAUACUGACAUACCAUUUUAGAGCCCAUAUUCCACUAUAUUGGCUUCAAUUGUUGUAAUCAUUUUAUCCACAAAAUUGCAAUUAUAGAUAAUAUGCUACACUAUUUUCUCCUUAAUUACGGAAAAAACAAAUAUCAAAUUGAUUUUCCUUUUUGUACAGGCUACAGUUUGAGGUUAUUUACUUAAGCAGUUUUAUCCCACAUUAGUCAAUGUUUGAGUUUGUUCUUCAAAUAAGUUAUCUUAUUUUAUUUUUUGUUCAUUAUAUACAAAGAAAAUAUAAUUGGAUAUUUAAUAUAAUUUUAAUAACAAUUAAUUUUUAGUAAAAAAAUGGGUCGGGCCUGGGCCUUGUAUUUUUUCCCGGGCCGGGCCUGGACAAAAUCUCAGGCCCAUAUUUAGGGCCGGGCCUGGGCAUAGGACACGGGCCAAAAUUUUUUUGGGCCCGACCCAAACCCGGCCCGGCCCGGCCCAUGAGUACCUCUACUUCCAAUCCUAUGGCAUGCCAACUAUAUCCGACUCAGCCUGACUAGUUAAUAGGGUAUUCAACUCAUUUUUUUAUUAUUUCAAAUUCAAUUUCGAUUCAAUCACAAUUCAUUUUUUAAUCAAUAUACAAUUCAAUACCAGUACCUUUUUCCACUUUCCAAUCAAUGUACCAUCAAAUGCUCAUAUAUAUUCAUACAUCAUUUCAAUUUCAUUCAAUUCACAAUUUUUCAUGUUCACAAUCCAAUAUGCAUUUCAAUAUCACAUUAAUUCUUUUAAUUCAAAUCAUAUCACUAGUAAUUUCCAUUCAAUUCACAUACAAUUCAAUAUCGAUAUUCACCUUAUUUUUAUUUACUAAACAUAUUAUUCAAAAUUCAAUACCAAUACGUAUUUAUCAUUCCACUCAAUCGUGAUACUUACCUCAAUUUGCUUAUCAUGUAUAUUAAUUUAAAUUUUAACAAUUAAUAAUUAAAUUCGAAUUAUAGUAUUACUAACCGAAAUUUCUCUCGAGUCACUCCUUGUUCACCUUCUCCUUUCCUUUCUUGGACAAUGACUCUUGCACGACAUUAGCUACGUAAUUAAACAAUUAAAAAUCAUUAAUACACAAUUUCUUUAAAAUAUUUCUAUUUAUACCUAAACUUUACCUAAAUUCUAAUUUAAUCCCUUAUCAAUACUAAUUUUAUUUUCCCAAUCUAACUCCAUAUUCUCUCUCAAUUCUUACUAUAAACUCAUUUUAACUCUUCAUUUUCACCAUAAAUCCAUAAUUUCAAAAUUCUAUCAAUUUAAUCCCUAUUAAUUCAAAACUUAUGUUUUAUUUUACAAAUUAACCUUUUACUAACUUCUAACUUGAAAUUCAAUCAAUUUAAUCCCUAAUUCAUCAAUUAAUUCAACAUGAACAACAUAUAAAAAUUUACUAACUUUUAAAAUUUCAACUUAAAUCAAGUAGUAUUUUGUUCUAGGAUUCUAAAAAUAUCAAAAUUACAAAAAAAGGGAAUAAAUUAACUUACCAAUUGAGCUUGGAACUUCAAAACCCCAAUUCUCCUUUUUUUUCUUUUCUUUCUCCUUUCUCCUCUUUCGUUUUUCAAUUCUGUUUCUUUCUCUUU
rnacentral:lncRNA from 1 species